ACGGAGGGUGCAAGCGUUAUCCGGAUUCACUGGGUUUAAAGGGUGCGUAGGCGGGCAGGUAAGUCAGUGGUGAAAUCUCCGAGCUUAACUCGGAAACUGCCGUUGAUACUAUUUGUCUUGAAUAUUGUGGAGGUAAGCGGAAUAUGUCAUGUAGCGGUGAAAUGCUUAGAUAUGACAUAGAACACCAAUUGCGAAGGCAGCUUACUACACAAUUAUUGACGCUGAGGCACGAAAGCGUGGGGAUCAAACAGGAUUAGAUACCCUGGUAGUCCACGCCCUAAACGAUGAUUACUCGACAUACGCGAUACACUGUGUGUGUCUGAGCGAAAGCAUUAAGUAAUCCACCUGGGAAGUACGUUCGCAAGAAUG
rnacentral:rRNA from 1 species